UGGUGAUGUUUUCAGUUGACGAUCAUUACGUGGAUUUCCAGCUGGUCACACCCUGUGAUGUGACGCAUAGUUCUUUUUGCACGAGAGAGAACUUCCCCUCGUGAUCCGUAGGUCCACUAAUGAUCUUCUGUGUUCAGUUCUGUCCUACCAAACAUUUUAAUUCUGGUAGGUGAUCUGAUGAGGACCUAGCAGGCCUACGACUCAGAAAUGCAGAUCAUACAAAGCUGAGGAUAACAGUUGCUGAGGCAUGAUGAAAUCAGGACUCAAAACCAUCUGCUCAAGUUGGAAAGCUUGAGAGAGACCAGUAAGCUGACAUUUAGUAGGGGAUAGGCAAAGUCUUGUGUUCAGGUCUAAAAUAUGAAUUGCUUAUUCACCCAGUGAGAAGAAAAACCAACUUGGAAUGUAUACAUGUAAAAGGGGAAAAAAAAUAAGAUCUGAGAGAAUUUGACCACAAGAUGAAUAUUGUCAGCAGUUUGAUAAAGGAAAUUUGAACAUCUGCCUACCUGAUUGCCGACAAGAGAGAAAGGAGGUGUAGGAACUGCUGCAACUGGGUGCCCGGGCCCUCCACAGCCAUGGCCGCCAGCCUGAGGAGGCCCUCCUUCAGCUCCCGCUCUGCCUGCUCGCCGGACACGGACGACCGGGGCGCCUGCGAAGAGGAUUCCAUCUGGGAGAG
rnacentral:lncRNA from 1 species